ensembl:lncRNA
AAACCUGCUCAGCCAGCUCCUGAUGGAGAACACAUGUAGGAAGAAGUUGGUCCCACUGAAGCAGGAGAGCAAGGAGGUACAUCUUGAUUGUGCACUGAACCAGAAAUAUUUGGUUGACUUUAACAAGAAAGAUAAAGACCAUCAACGGACAGAACCAGCAUUAUCAGGUCUCAGAAAGUGCAAGAGAGCUGGAAUUGGACACACACCAGUAAGAGAGCUUCCUGAAGAAUAAGUUGCUUUCUCAGGAGUCCCUGAUGACCAACAUCCUGAAUGAAAACAGCACUUGAGAGACAACUUGGGGGACCGCCUUUCAUUAUGUGGGCUAGAGGAGAAACAGCAAUACAUCUGUGC